rnacentral:lncRNA from 1 species
AAUACACUGUAUACAUUUUUAUUCGCAUUAUUUUAUAGUUUGCUUGAAAAUAUUUUUGCCUGAAAUCAUGUAUCUUUCCAUAACCUGGCUAAAGACAGUAACUCUGUUGAAUUGAAUGCAACUGAAUUUUUCCUUUUUGUCAGGAACUCAUAUCCUCUCCACCUGGAAGCAAAAACUCUCAGAGGGACAGCCAGUCAGAGAGCUCCCAAGAGAAACCUGGUCAGGUUAUUUUCGCAUUAGCUACACUGAUAAGAAUCAGCCCAGAAUAAGAAUAAUCUUUUUCUCUGUAUUCAGACACUCUGAAUGAUCCCAACUCAGAAUCUCAGCAGGAGAGUCAAGUUCUCAACAUUUGCCCUCCUCUCAACAAAAAGUGUGCACCAGAGGACAUGGAAUCUACAGCCGAUUCCACAACACACUGUGUCCAGGCCGAAGGUGGAACUUCUCAGUUUAACUUUCUAGAGCUAUCACAGAGUCAAGACUUGGGAGGGGAAGUGACAAAUUGCCAGGACCAAGAAGACAAUAUCCCUCCUCCAGAUAGUGAAAAACAUGCCAAAUUAGGUAAUUAUAAAUGCUCCUCGCAUGCUUUUGUCAUUCUCAUUAUGGGUCAGGUGAAUUCAGACGCUUUAGGAGGCACAUCCUUAAAAGCCAAACCUGAGAUUCCAAGUUAAUGGCUCAGUGAAGAUGCUCCGUAUUUUUUGCUAUCACUUUCAAAGGUUUGUAGAUUGUAUUCUGUGCUUUAACAUUUAAUAUAUCAUCUAAAAGACCACCUGAAAGUAACAAUGAUCUUUAUAUAAGAGAAGCUAAAAUGGUAAAGAAUUUCAGCUGUGGGGAUUAUUAGGUUGGCUAUUGUUUAAGUGUUUUUUCCUCACCUGCAGGUCAGAACUCUGACUCCAGGACUUCAGGAAGUCAGAACAACA